rnacentral:snRNA from 1 species
AGCUUUGCACAGUGGCAGUAUCAUAGUCAGUGAGGUUUAUCCAAGGCACAAUUAUUGCUAAUUGAAAACUUCCCAAUACCCUGCCAUGACGACUUGAAAUAUAGCCGGCAUUGAAAGUUAAUUCCAGGUAUAUUAAGGAGUGAAAUGAGAAAUGCAAAUAUAUAUAACUUUUAAAAAG